UCAGCCUCUCCCCUUCCUCCUUGCGGGGACUAGGGGGCUCAAGUCCUUGGCAGGAGAGGGUGCAAAUCAAGACCUGGAGCUCAGUUCAGUGCAGAUUCCUAUUUGCCUUUUUUUAUUCUCCUGGCAUCCUCAGACUAUCUUCCUCCCCUCACCCCCUCCCACCUAGGGUGCUAUAAAAAAUGCAAAUCAGUAGGAUUUUAAAAUUCAAGCCUAUGCCAGGAACACCCACAAACCCUCUAUUAAGGCAGAUCCUGAGGUGGGUGGUGUGGUCCCAGAUUCCAAGCAUAAAAAGAGGACUCUAUUAGAUUCUUUUUUCAGCAUGGGCCUUGGACUUCAGACAUGAUCUGUGAUGACUUCAGACAUGAUUUGUGAUGACCUUGACCUUUCUGAUCUUGGACAAAUGAAUGGGAAGAGUCAGAAUUAUAUAUGCGUGGGCUGGGCCUGACCAUCCCAAACUGACACGGGAAGCACGGGAGAACCAGCAUGGGAAGGGCCAGGAUGGAGACUCCUCUGUCCCUCACCUAAGCAGCAUUUCUCUGGAUAACUUUCCCAUCUGAGUGUCACCACAAAAAGGGCUUGAAGAGGAAGUUCCAGAGAAGUGACCAUUGACCUGAGAAGGCAGACGCUGGAGUGGGACAGGAAGAGCGCCUGCGAGCCUUAACCAGGAAGCAUCAGUGAGAACACCUGCUCUGCGAGCUGCCCUCCCCCCCAAACUGGCCCCAGAUACAGCUGCCAAGUUUGGAGGGGUGGGGGUGGGGUAGUGUAGAGUUUGCAGGAGCUGGACAGGAUGUCAUGGAAUCUGGAGAGCCACGGAUCCAGGUCUGCUGUUGAGAGCCUGGGUGCCCCUGGCUCUGGAAAGAAGAAAGAAAGAAGAGGGGAGAAAAGUGAGACCGAGGAGAGGUCCACUCCAAGAGAAACUAAAAGGAACAAAAAGAGGUAGAGGCAAAGGAACAGGAAGGAAUCGGAUUGAGAGAAAGUCCCCUGAGUGCUCCCCCCAUCCACCCCGCCUUUUGGACGAAGCUGCAGCAGCGGUAGCAGAUGGUUCCAGAAAAGAAAGAAGAGGAGUAGGUCCGGUAACUGGGGUGAGUCCCGCCCCGUGGGUCCACACAGCGCUGUGCUCCGCCCAGCCUGCAGGCUUCGUUGCAGUUUGGAGCCAGAGAUCCCUAAGGUGGGUCUUUCCGUGGUACCCCAGGCGUGCUCACCGUGGGAGCCACCCCCAAGGACUGAGUUGCAGUCCACAGACUGGCUGAACCUUUUCUGGAGUUGAAUCUUCUGGGAUGGAGGCAGAAAGGGGCACCUGGCCACUAUCAUAAUCUACAAUCUUACACGGGGAGAAACACCACCAAAGGUUCCCCCACCCCUGCAGGCCUUGCUCAUUCUUAGAGCUCCGGGGCCCAGCAGUGGCAGCUAUAGAAGGCAGUGAGUAAACAAACAUUCGUGGUCCGGGGUAGAAAUA